rnacentral:rRNA from 1 species
GAUGAACGCUGGCGGCGUGCCUAAUACAUGCAAGUCGAGCGAACGGACGAGAAGCUUGCGUCUCUGAUGUUAGCGGCGGACGGGUGAGUAACACGUGGAUAACCUACCUAUAAGACUGGGAUAACUUCGGGAAACCGGAGCUAAUACCGGAUAAUAUUUUGAACCGCAUGGUUCAAAAGUGAAAGACGGUCUUGCUGUCACUUAUAGAUGGAUCCGCGCUGCAUUAGCUAGUUGGUAAGGUAACGGCUUACCAAGGCAACGAUGCAUAGCCGACCUGAGAGGGUGAUCGGCCACACUGGAGCUGAGCCACGGUCCAGGCUCCUACGGGAGGCAGCAGUAGGGAAUCUUCCGCAAUGGUCGAAAGCCUUACGGAGCAACGCCGCGUGAGUGAUGAAGGUCUUCGGAUCGUAAAACUCUGUUAUUAGGGAAGAACAUAUGUGUAAGUAACUGUGCACAUCUUGACGGUACCUAAUCAGAAAGCCCCGGCUAACUACGUG